UACGUAGGUGGCAAGCGUUGUCCGGCAUUACUGGGUGUAAAGGGCGUGUAGGCGGGAUAGCAAGUCAGAUGUGAAAUUCCGGGGCUUAACCCCGGCACUGCAUCUGAAACUGUUAUUCUUGAGUGUCGGAGAGGAAAGUGGAAUUCCCAGUGUAGCGGUGAAAUGCGUAGAGAUUGGGAGGAACACCAGUGGCGAAGGCGGCUUUCUGGACGAUAACUGACGCUGAGGCGCGAAAGCGUGGGGAGCAAACAGG
rnacentral:rRNA from 1 species